rnacentral:rRNA from 1 species
UGGUGGAGUGAUUUGUCUGGUAAGUCUAUUUUGGUGUUUUUUUAUUUCCUUGUGACUUAUCCAUAAUCUUACUUAUGUAUCAUUUGUGUCGUGAUUUGCAGGUUAAUUCCGUUAACGAACGAGACCCCUGCCUGCUAAAUAGGUGUGCGAAUGAAUGUUCAUUGGUAACACCUUCUUAGAGGGACGUGCGUUCUAUUAGACGCAGGAAGAUAGGGGCAAUAACA